AGGAGCACGCGGAAGCUGCCAUCCAGAACCAGCACCUACAGGCGCAGUUCAGCCUCAUGGCUCUCCCUCGGGAAGGAGAUGGACAGGACAGGGAGGAGGAGGAGGUGCUUCGGCCCAUGAGCAGCAUCCUGGAAGACCUGGAGAGCCGAGAGGCCGUGGUGGGGUGGUCACCAGCGUGGCAGCUGAGCACCCUUCCCUCCAGGUGGAGCUGGUGUUGCAUCUUGCCAGCGACCAAGACCAGGGACAUGAGGGAUUGCUGGCAGCUGCCCAGAACC